rnacentral:lncRNA from 1 species
AGGAGGUGGUAGUGUAAAAGAUUGGACAAGACUCACUCUUGUAUUUUUCUUCUCACAAAACCUAAAGAUAAAAUCCUAGAACCCACAGCUCACGCCCGAGAGGAAGAACACUUCCUCUGUUUCUCACGCACGGAAGCUCAACCCACUCUCAACUUUUUAUGUCCCCUCUCUCAAGUUUCUUAUGCCAAAAAUUACUUCUAAUCUCGUACAAAACUGAUCCCCUUUUAAGGUUGGCAUCCCAUCAAAGAUAAGGAUAAGAAUAAGGUAGUUUCGAUUUAAAUUCAAGUAUUGGUUAAUCC